rnacentral:tRNA from 1 species
GAUUCUGUAGCUCAGUUGGAUAGAGCAACGCCCUCCUAAGGCGUAGGCCAUGCGUUCAAUUCGCAUCAGAAUCGCCA